UAUUGUGAGUUGCUGCACCAUCAAGUGGUUUAAUGAUUGGCCUACCGAAGCACUGAAAGAAAUUGCAAAUAGAUACAUCGAAAGCUCAGAAAUGGAAAACUAUUUAGAUGUAGACAUAUAAAAAAUACUUAAGACGAAACUUUCAAGCAAUAUUGUGAACGUGUUUCCGUCUAUUCACUGCACAGUCAAACACUACGCUAAAGAGAUGAUAGGCGACAAAAAAGGAAUAGCAUACUCUCCCUCUAUUUAUCUGGAAUUGAUAAAAGGAUUUAAUUCGCUAUUUCAUGACAAGUUGACGGAUUUGAGUCGAGAAGCCAACAAGUUGAAGAAUGGAUUAUAUAAAAUCGACGACACACGAUCUAAAGUGUCCGUAAUGUCAAAAGAACUUGAAGAAGCCAAGGAAAAUGUUGCUUUAUUCCAGAAGCAAUGCGACGACUAUUUGCUUGUUAUUGUACACCAAAGGAGAGAAGCCGACGAACAACAAAAGUUGGUGUCCACAAAAAGUGAAAAAAUUCAGGAAGAUGAGAAAAAAUGUCAGCACAUGGCGAAUUUGGCACAAAAAGAUUUGAAUGAAGUGUUGCCUCUUUUCGAAGAGGCUAUAAAAG